CUUUCUGCUAAAGAAGAUCCUGAGCUACUGCCUGCCUGGCCUGGCCUGUCUGGCCCGACCAUGGGCUGCAGGCUCCUCUGCUGUGUGUCCCUCUGCCUUCUGGGAGCAGGCUCCUUGGACACAGCUGUUUCCCAGACUCCAAAAUAUCUUGUUACACGGGUGGGGAACAAAAAGUCACUUCAAUGCAACCAGAAUCUGGGCCACAAUGCUAUGUACUGGUACAAGCAAGACUCCACGCGACAGCUGAAGAUCAUGUUUACUUACUAUAACCAGGAACUCUCAAUAAAUGAAACAGUCCCAAGCCGCUUCUCACCUGAAUCUCCUGACAAAGCUCAUUUAAACCUUCAUGUCAACUUCCCAGAACCAGAGGAUUCUGCCACGUAUCUCUGUGCCAGCAGCCAAGACACAGCCUUACAGAGUCCCUGCCUCCCCGCGCACAAACCUCCCGGCCAGCCAGGAAGCUGUGGUGGCUUUGUGUUCAUCUGUGUCGGUGUCUCCCUUCCCCAGUCCUGUCAGGACCAGAAUGGAUACUCCAUCUAUGGCCCUGCCUUCCUAUUCCCCAAAGGGAGAAGUUCUUUGUUAAUGUACACAUAG